UUAUUUUAAUGGCCGCGGUAUUUUGACCGUGCAAAGGUAGCAUAAUAAUUAGCUUAUUAAUUGUGAGCUUGUAUGAAUGGUUGGACGAAAUAUUAACUGUCUCAUAUUUAUUAUUAGAAUUUAAUUUUUGAGUUAAAAAGCUUAAAUUUUUUUAUAGGACGAGAAGACCCUAUAGAUCUUUAUUUUCAUAAUUUAUUUUUUUUUUGAAUUUAUUUACAUUUCUUGAAUUUUUAGUUGGGGUGAUUUUGAGAUAUAAUUAACUCUUUAUUUUAUUUUUCAUUUAUUUAUGUUUAUAUGACCUUUUAUUAUUGUUUAUAAGAAAAGAUACCUUAGGGAUAACAGCGUAAUUCUUUUUAAGAGUUCUUAUUGACGAGAGAGAUUGCGACCUCGAUGUUGAAUUAAGAUUAAUAUUGGGUGAAGAAGCUUAAUUAUUAGGUCUGUUCGACCUUUAAAAUCUUACAUGAUCUGAGUCAA
rnacentral:rRNA from 1 species